rnacentral:rRNA from 1 species
UACGUAGGUGGCGAGCGUUGUCCGGAUUUACUGGGCGUAAAGAGCGCGCAGGCGGCUGGUCAAGUCCGAUGUGAAAGCUCCCGGCUUAACUGGGAAAUUGCAUCGGAAACUGAUCGGCUGGAAGGUGGGAGAGGGUAGCGGAAUUCCCGGUGUAGUGGUGAAAUGCGUAGAUAUCGGGAGGAACACCAGUGGCGAAAGCGGCUACCUGGCCCAUUCUUGACGCUGAGGCGCGAAAGCUAGGGGAGCAAACGGA